GAAAAUGUGCUUUGAUAAAGGCAGUUGGUGUCUUAUUAAAGAAAACUAGUGAAUUAAAGAGUUUUGGACCAUGAAUGGAGAAGCUUACUGAAAAUAAGGCCUUUCAAGUGAAGGAGAGUAAGGAAAGAAGUUGGGGUAUUCCAAGACGUGAAGAAUCCUGUCUUUUGUGUGGAAUUCAAGAUAUUGAUCAACUAUUCCCACAAGAAGAAGCAUUUGCCUCCAGGGUACCAUGGACGUGUGGCAAUAUAAAUCCAAAGGACAACUGAGGCCUAGUUAAAAAAAGCCACAUACCUGCACAUUCAGUCUUAGACUACAUUGUUUGCUAACAAUAGGACUCAAACUGAUUUACAUACUAAGGAAAAACUCUGCUAGGGAAAUUAAUCUUAGGUGUCAUAUCAAUUAAA